GUCUAUAGCCAUGCUACCCUGAACGUGCCCAGUCUCGUCUGAUCUUGGAAGCUAAGCAGGGUCGGGCCUGGUUAGUAGUUGGAUGGGAGACCACCUAGGAAUACCAGGUGCUGUAGGUA
rnacentral:rRNA from 1 species